UACGUAGGGCGCAAGCGUUGUCCGGAAUCAUUGGGCGUAAAGAGCUCGUAGGUGGUCUGUUACGUCUGCUGUGAAAACCUAGGGCUUAACCCUGGGCCUGCAGUGGAUACGGGCAGACUAGAGUCCGGAAGAGGCGAGUGGAAUUCCUGGUGUAGCGGUGAAAUGCGCAGAUAUCAGGAAGAACACCAAUGGCGAAGGCAGCUCUCUGGGACGGUACUGACGCUGAGACGCGAAAGCGUGGGGAGCGAACAGG
rnacentral:rRNA from 1 species